AAUAAGAGCUGCAUGGAACACCUUCACCUCUUGCAUGAAGGACCAUGGCUUCGCAUCAAUGAGAAGGAAAACGCAAAAGUUAGGAAGACUCCAGUUCAUUGUUACACCCCAAAGGUUUACACUCUGCCGACGUGAUGAGCAUGGCAUUACAAACUUGAAGAAGAGAGUCGUGGUCAAAAGCUCAUACUUACACCGUGAAUGUAAGUUGCGCCUGAAAGCACGAAAAAUCACACAAGAAUAUAUUUUGUUGAAGCAACAGGACCUUCACAGUUGGGCAGCCUACAAAGAGCAUGGAGAAAGUAUCCAAAAUUUGUUUGCUGUUCUUCGCCGUGCUCUUGGAAGAUACAAAGCUCGUCGCAUAGAAGCUGGUUUCUUCUACAUGUAUGCCCAUCCACGUCAACACUCCCUUUAUGUAAUGAGUCCCCUUUACACUCUGCCUCGCAAAGAAGCUUUGAAGAAAAUAAAACGUCUUCGGAGGAGGAGAGAACAUUAUGUCCGCGCAAGCAGUAUCACUUCUCUUACUAUACAGCGAUCAAAUCUCGCACUUGGGAAGAAUAUAGGAGAGUGUAGUAGGUUGAUACAAAUAUUCUUGCUGUACUUGUUUGUCAUAAUUUUAGCUUGGAUGAUAGUUUAUUUAUAAUUUGGAGAAAAGGUACUUACUGUAUAGAGUUGAGUGCAGGUUGGAAUAUGUAUGAUGCUGGUUCACUUUCCCUAUAUUUAGUGUCUAAUAGUUAUCUUACUAUUAUUAAUUGGAGGCUCCUUUUGAAGCCUCAUGUGAA